rnacentral:rRNA from 1 species
UAGGGAAUCUUCGGCGAUGGACGAAAGUCUGACCGAGCAACGCCGCGUGAGUGAAGAAGGUUUUCGGAUCGUAAAACUCUGUUGUUAGAGAAGAACAAGGACGUUAGUAACUGAACGUCCCCUGACGGUAUCUAACCAGAAAGCCACGGCUAACUACGUGCCAGCAGCCGCGGUAAUACGUAUGUGGCAAGCGUUGUCCGGAUUUAUUGGGCGUAAAGCGAGCGCAGGCGGUUUCUUAAGUCUGAUGUGAAAGCCCCCGGCUCAACCGGGGAGGGUCAUUGGAAACUGGGAGACUUGAGUGCAGAAGAGGAGAGUGGAAUUCCAUGUGUAGCGGUGAAAUGCGUAGAUAUAUGGAGGAACACCAGUGGCGAAGGCGGCUCUCUGGUCUGUAACUGACGCUGAGGCUCGAAAGCGUGGGGAGCAAACAGG